GUCUUUUAAUUGAAGUCUGGUAUGAAUGGUUCGAUGAAAAAUUUACUUUCUUUAUUUUAUAAAAAAAAAUUAAUGUUUAGAUUAAAAAUUCUAAAUUUUAUUAAAGGACGAGAAGACCCUAUAAAACUUUUAUUAUUUCUUUUUAUCAAAAUUAUUUUGAUAAUUUAUUUUUGAUAAUAAGGAUACUUUGGUUGGGAGGACAGAUAAAAUUGUUUAACUUUUUUUAAUUAUUUCAUUUAUAGAUGAAUAUUUGAUCCCUUUUUAUGGAAAAAAAGAUAAAGUUACUUUAGGGAUAACAGCGUUAUUAUUCUGGAGAGUUCAUAUUGAUAGAAUAGUUUGCGACCUCGAUGUUGGAUUAAAAUUAGUAAUGGGGGUAGAUUAUCAUUAUCUAGGUCUGUUCGACCUUUAAAUUUUUACA
rnacentral:rRNA from 1 species